UACGUAGGGUGCAGGCGUUAAUCGGAAUUACUGGGCGUAAAGCGUGCGCAGGCGGCUUCCUAAGUCAGAUGUGAAAUCCCCGGGCUUAACCUGGGAACUGCGUUUGAAACUGGGAGGCUAGAGUGCGGCAGAGGGGGGUGGAAUUCCGCGUGUAGCAGUGAAAUGCGUAGAUAUGCGGAGGAACACCGAUGGCGAAGGCAAUCCCCUGGGCCUGCACUGACGCUCAUGCACGAAAGCGUGGGGAGCAAACAGG
rnacentral:rRNA from 1 species